UGUUACCAGCCGCCCGCUUCGAGCUAAAACGGGUCCGUAUUUAAAACAUCAGCAGGCAAGAAAGCACCAACAAUGCUCUACUACAGCUUUCUAUCCCAGUGCCCACUCAAUUAGCUGACCCGCUACCGGAAACCUAUGUACAGCUUCUCCGGAUACGAGCUGCGUCACAGAGCGUGAUGCCGCAAUUCAGUGCAUGUGAACGUCAUGGGAACGUGACAGAUGGUGCGUUAGAAAGAUGUUAUUCCCAAUUCUGGUCUGAGCCUGGUGUUGAGAUUUUGAAAAGAGUGCAAAGAAGAGCAACAUGAAUGAUUAGGAGGUUAAAGGCUAAAAUAUAUGAAGAACAGUUACAGAAAUUGGGUGUGUGUAUUCUAAUGAAAAGAAGGACUAAGGGAGACAUGAUACCAGUGUUCCAAUAUUUGAGGGGUUCCUACAAAGACAAUGGGGUCAGACUAUUUUCCAAAGCAUCAGAAGGCAAGACAAGAAACAAUGGAUGGAAACUAACCAAGGACCGAAGCAACCUGGAACUAAGGAGAAAUUUCUUAACGGUGUUUUUUUAUCCAGAUUUUUCCUCCAGAUGUGAACAUAAAGUUUAUACAAAAUGAAGCAGAUGUAAAGACUAUUCAGAAGAGAGAUUGAGCCACUGGUUUAGCCCUGAGAAGAAGGAAGCAAGCAGCAAUUACCAUUGCCCACCGGUGGACCUACAGGGAGUCGAGGGACUGGAUUUUAUAUUCCUAACACGAUCCACACUGAGGACCGAGACAACAACUGUUGUAGCAUUUGUUUCUCCCUUCAGCCUACUACAGCUUCUGGCAGGUCACAUCUGUCCCACAGGUCUUCUAUUCACUGUAGUUGUACCAGUACACAUUGAAGUACUGAAGUACAUGUUAAAGUGUGUCUUAUUUCUGCAACCAGUCUUAGGGGAAACAGGGAGCAUUAAACAUUGCCAAUCUCCAUUUUUAUGGAGAUUGUUAUUUCCAUCAGCCUCCACAUAUUAACCAUAUUAACCACCAAAUGGUACAGAGCUACAAUGGAUGCCAUCUUGAACUUCCUGAGGACAAGGAGAAAGCCAACAAAAUGUUGCCUGUUUGUUGACAACCAAGUGUGAUGAGAGGUUGUCAAAAAUUGCAGGAAACUAAGAGUCAUUCUGCCCAUCAUAGUUUUCUGACAAUUUUAUUUAUAUCGUAUAGCGUAGCAAAAUGCAGCACAAUGCAUAAAAUUCACAGAAAACAGCAUAUAAAAUGUAUGGCAAAAUAUAAUGUAUGGCAAAAUAUAAAACAUCAGAGCAGUGAAUUGUUUUAAAAACAUACAACACAAGUUAUGAAUAAAAUUAAAUUAUGCAGGAGAAGUUACUGUCAAGUAGGAAACUUUGGUAGCUACGUGCCUCUUCUUUUCAACUUGCCAUUAGAGUAAGGAGGGGGAGGCAUUUUAGAAUGAGUUAGAUGGAGAAACGAAACCUCAACAAUCCCGCUGAAGAUUGUGAGAGCCUGAAACAGUUUCAAGGACAUCAGCAGAUGUGGAGUUGAAGCAGACAUAAGAAAGUGAAUUUGUUUACUUGGACUACAUGAGAGGUGGGGGGUUUAGCUGGGGAAAUUAUUGUUUAACGCUGAACUGGUGUCUGGGAAUCUCAGAGUUAGUUUUGCUUUGACAUUACCAUGCAGUGUAUUCAAUAAACAGUCAGAUUUUCGGAAA